GGCUGGUCCAAAGGUAGAGUUCUCUUGAUUGACUGUUCACAGUCAGUUGCAGAUCAAACUCCUUGUUUUAUUUUUUCUCCCCUACUCACUACUGCGCUUGACUAGUAUUUA
rnacentral:Y_RNA from 1 species